AGAUGAUGGUUACAACUUGUAAUGAUUACUUAUGAUUAUUCAAAGUUAAUUUUUGUUUCAAGACCGGACUGA
rnacentral:snoRNA from 1 species